UUAGUAGGAACGAACAGCGUGACCUUUGACCUGACCUUGGCGAACUCAUCGAAGGUGAUCUUCCCGUCCUGGUUGAGGUCCAUGGUCCUGCUGAGCUCCUGGACGAUCUCUCGGAUACGGUAUCCCGGCAGAGGAAGGUUUGCGGCUCGGAAAAGGUCGUUCAGCUCGUCUGUGCUGAUGUAACCGUUACCGUCCACAUCUGCAAGCAAAGGUCAAAGAAAUAAAGAUGAUAU